rfam:Clostridium sp. CAG:273 genomic scaffold, scf200
AAUAUAAUUAUAGUUAGGCCAUAGACAGUAAGCAUAAAAAUAAGUCUUACCGAGGCAUAUUAAAGAGCGGAUAUAAACCAAUCUUUUAUGCCUAUGGCGUAAAGAUUGGUUUUAAUUUUUAAUA